UUUACCAUGGCAACCGGUUGUAUCGUAAUGGCGUCGAUUGAACAGAUGAGUGCACACGAUCAAAAGUUACCAAGUAGUGUAGAGUGUAUAUCAAUAUUGAUUGAUAUUCAGUCAGUCGAUCCAUUCGAUUUACGCCACAGUGAUUGACGUAUGUGUGUACAUCUUUUACAGUGGGAUAUAGAGGUAAACAUGGUGGGUAUUGGACUGUGUCUAGAUGUAUAGAAGUUACAGAUCAACAAACAGUAGUAGUAGUAGCAGUAGUAAUUUAGUCGAAAGUAACAACCAAUCCACCUGUCAAUCAUCUGUUUCAAUGGGUAGUGGAUCGUCAAAGAACACAGACGGUAAGAUAAAAUCAGCUUCGAAGCGGUCCUCUCCAUCGCAAGAUAGUUCUGGCAAUUCUAAACCAAUUUCAAGUGAGUCCACAGCACAACCUGAUAGUAACAGCACCUCCAAAAACCUCAAGACACUUCAAGAUAACAUUAUGUCGGAAAAAAUUCAGGGAUCUACCCCAAGGGCUGUGAAAUGGCUGGACAUGAAUAUCAACAAUCUAAUGAAGGAUAUGAACAUAAGUGAUGACGGGCAACAAUGGUGGAAGGCUGUAGAUAAACUCAUUGAUAAAAACCCACCAAAAAUAAUUCCAGACACACAGCGUAAAAUGUGGAAAACUGUACGUUUAUUUAUCAGUAGUACGUUUAAAGAUAUGAACAAUGAACGUGAAUAUUUGGUGAAGAUUAUUAUUCCCGUUUUACGUCAGUGGUGUGAAGAACGUAAAAUACGACUCAUCGAGUGUGAUUUACGCUGGGGAGUUCCAAAAGAUGCAGAUACAAGAGAAACUCUGAUGGCCUGUUUAUCGGAGAUUGACAGGUGUCGAGAAGAGAACGAGUUUCCGUAUUUUUUAUGUAUGUUAUCUGAGAGAUAUGGAUAUGUAUGUGAUCCAGCAGAAGUUCCAGAAGAUAUUAAAGUCCGAUAUAACUGGUUACCAGGGAUGUCCGUGACAGCGUUAGAGAUAUUUACAGGUGCAUAUUGGGAUAGAAAUCCACACGCACUGUACAUGUUACGCGAUCCAGUUUUUUUAUCAAACGUCAAGGAUAAAAAUAUUUUGAAAGGUUAUCAGGAAACGAAACCAGAAUCCAUUGAAUCGUUGCAAAUUCUUAAAGGUAAAUUACGAGAACAUUAUAGGGAUAAUAUAAAGGAGUAUAAAUGUGAAUUAGCUGAGGAGAAAGAUGAACAACUCAUUUUAACGGGAUUUAAAACAUUCGGUGAAGAUAUCAUCAAACAUUUUAAAGCGUCCAUUGAGAAUCAGUAUCCAGCUACAUCACUGGGAGAAGAAAUGACGGACAUUGAAAUACAGAAAGGACAACAGUUGGAUUUCCUCUUACAAAGAUCGCACUUUUUAGUUGGAAGAGAUGAAGCUCUGUCCACCAUGACAGAUUAUAUAAACCAAGAUUGUAAUAAAUCAGACUUGCUAGUACUGGUUGGUUAUCCUGGAGCAGGUAAAAGCUCGUUAAUGGCUUACUCAGCUAAACAACUACUCACAAAUAAAACUAAUAAGGUAUUUUAUCAUUUUGUUGGUGCGACCCCUGAUUCAACUGACCCUUACAGUAUAUUGACAAGAUUCUACAAGGAAUGUAUGCCAGAAGAUGACAACAUGCCCCCAGAUCUAGACUCCAUGUUGCGCUAUGCACAAACCAUGUUUCAAAAAGCCGGCGAACUAGCGAAACAAGAAGGUUACGAACGAUUGGUUAUUUAUUUUGAUGCCUUGAAUCAAAUGGAUGAAGACGGAGAAACAUCUCGUCUCACAUGGCUACCAUCUGUAUUGACACCAGAACUAAGAAUUAUAGUCAGUACGCUGGAAGGAGAUUGUCUUAAUGCGUUGAGAUCACGAGAUAUAAAAACUAAAGAAGUUCCUGUCGAACCACUUAAUAUUGAAAUACGUAAAGAUAUUGUCAGUAAGAUAUUAGCGGAAUAUAACAAACUGCUGGAUCAAGAACAAAUGCAACUGCUGAUUGAUAAAGAUGACGCUGGUCGUCCACUGUGGUUGAGUUUGGCCUGUGAAGAAUUACGAGUAACAGGAGAUUUCCGUGGAUUAACGGAGAAAAUACAGAAUUUACCUGGAGAUUUAUCAGGAUUAACGCAAAUUAUCUUGGAGAGAGUGGUUAAAUUCUAUGGUGAAGAGUUGGUUGAAGCCUCUCUAUGCUUACUCGAGUCUUCACGAUUUGGAUUGAUGGAAUCAGAGUUGUUAGAGUUAUUGGCCCUUGCUCCAAUCACUUAUAGCAAAAACACAAAAACUGAUAACGUAGAAAACGGAAAGAUUCUCAUGGCGCAGUGGGCUUUUGUUUAUCUUGGACUCAAACCAUUUCUACGACCUUUCGGAGGGUCAGGUGAAGGUCGUUUAGAUUUUUAUCAUAGGUCAACAAGUAAAGUCAUUCGUCAGGUAUAUUUAGAAGAUUCCUCCGUUAAAAAAUGGUGGCACCAGAGAUUAGCAGAUUAUUUCCAGAGAUGUACUGACAGUGUACGCAAGGCUGAAGAAUUACCAUUUCAACUUUAUCAACUGGAUGACAAAGAAAACUUGAUGAAGUGUCUUGUUUCUCCAGACGUGUUUUUACACCUGUGCGAAGAAAAGUCGAAACAGGUUCUAAUGAAGUUUUGGCUGUGGGCAGAUAACUAUGAAGGAGCUGCCAAACGUUAUAUACAAUUUUUGGAUGAUUUCUGUGAGGUGAUUUAUAUUCUAUUGUAAUUCCAAUGGAAUAUCAUCUUGUAUUCAGAAAAAAGAAGAAACUAACCCAUAUGUUAUCAAUUUGAAAGCUAAGAUUGCCUGGUUUCUGGUAGAUAUUGGAGAAUAUGAUACAGCUACGGAAUUAUUAAAACCAUUUGUUACUGAUUUAGAGACAAACUUUGGUCCGAAAUCUGAAUAUCUGUGUGAACCAUUAUACGCUUUAUUAACUCUGUAUUAUAGAGCAGCUUUAAAGUAUGUUUAUGGAAGUAGUGAUGGAUAUCAGAGAAACUGCCAGUUUGGUACAAAAUGUGGUAAACAUUGUGUAAUGGUAUUUGAGGCAAAUUAUGAUCAAUUUGAUAAUAAACUUGGUGAGGUUUAUGCUCUGGCUGGUUAUUUUGACUCCAAAUAUUUAGAAAAAGCUCAAACUAUAUUUGAUAAAAAUAAUAAUAAAGGAGGAUUGGCUCAAGUUUAUUACAUGUUGGGAGAGAAAAACCAGUAUCAUUCGGAUAUCAACGUUCCAAGAAACAUAUUCGAGAAAUCUUUAAAUCUGUGUUUGUCGUCAUUCGGAAAACUUCAUAUUCAUACGGCUCGUUGUUAUCAACUUUCCGGACAAAUGAUGUGGAACAGAUGGACGCACAACCACGAUAAUAAUCUACUCAACGAAAGCCUGGGAAAUUAUAUAAACGAAGUGGAGAUUUUAUCCGAACUUAUUGGACCACAUCAUCCGAAUGUUGUGCGCUCACGAGAAGAUGUCAUAAUAAUUCUUGAGAACCUUGGUCGACCAGCAGAAGCAAACAAAUACAGAGAACAACAGCCUGAAUUCAACGAAUCUCUGUAAAAAUUGGGUGUGACGAAAUUACAAUACUAUGUGUUGUUAUUUUAUUUUAUUAGUUGUUACAUGGGGGUUGGCAGCCGAAUGGUCCAAGUUGUGCAUGGGGAUGGCCGAAUGGUUAAUACGUAUGUGCUGUAUCAUAAGGUCUGGCGUGGUUUCGAUUCCUUGGUUGUACGUGACAAGGAGUAGGGUCACCUGUCCAACCCCAUAGGUUUUCAGCAGGCCCUCUGGUUUCCUUCCACUGCUAAAGAACCUACGCGCAAGCAGAUUAUUGAAAUAAAAUUGAACCAUAUGUUAGUCCCGAAAUGACCUAGUUUGUGUCAAGUGGACGUUAAACCCCAUUUCUCUCUCUCUCUGUACCACGUAUCAGGUCAUGUACAUGUAUCAUAUAUUAGGGAUGUACCUUUUGUUUUCAACAUUUCAGUACUCUUACAGGUAUCUUUAUCGAAAAAUGUCUUAGUUUAUUAUAACGUAUCAUUGAUUGAUAAAGAUACCUGUAAAAGUAUUGAAACAUUGCAUGUAAUAAAGAUGUAUUCUGCUCCGACUGGGCUAAUGAUGAUGAGCAUACGGCAUACAAUGUGCUAGGAGGGAAAUUUUGCCUGGGCAGUGGCAGUUGGGCCUACCUACUCUUAUAUCAAAUUCCAACUGGGAAGGGAUCUUUUGCAUACACACCAAUGUAUACACAGGACCUCGGGUUUUCGUACCAUCCAAACGCUGUCCUGGACAGGCCCUCCGUCUUUCACCACUGACAAGGGGAAACCAUCCUGAUGAACUUUCUCGGCCAAUGCAGGUAUCAAACAUGUGUUAUUAUGAAUACAAUUUUGUAAGCUAUUUAUAUUUUAACACAAAUUAUCACUUAAUAUUGUUGUUAUAGAUGUAUUUUAUUGAAUAAUCAAAUAUGUCGUUUGUCUGUCUGUCUGUUCGGGGUUGGCGGCUACACUAGGUCUGCCCCGAGUCUGAAAUUUGGGGUAUAGGGGUAGCUCGGACCGGGGAGUAACAUAGGCCAGGUGGCGUUAGUCUACCACUUCCGGUUUCGGAGUUAUGACCCCCGAGCGAAGCCGGGUAUCCUGCUAGUUAUUAUAUAAAUUUAAAGGAAAUCAAAUUGCAAUGAACUGUGAUUCUCAACUCAGAUUUAUUUUUUUUCAUUUAUUAUACAUAUUUUUACUUUUACUUUCAAAGGACACAACCAUUUCUCUAAUUGAUUGAAAUUAACUUGUAUGAUAAAGAUACAUUAUGUAAGAUUUAGAUAAAGAGCUAGCCAUUCUUGCUCUAAUAGUUCGAAAAUAGAUAAUGUAAAAUGAAUAUAUUGAAAAUUAAUAUUUUAGCUUCUUGUUUUUUUAGGAAAACUAUUUUAAAAACAACAAAAAAUACAUGUUUGCUCUUCUUAAAACGGGGGGGUUGGAUGGCCGAAUGGUUAGCACGUGCAUGCUGUAUCAUAAAGUCUGUCAUUGAGUCAACUGACGUGGUUUCGAAUCCCCGGUUGUACGUGACAAGGAGUAGGGUCCUCCGGUUUCCUCCCACUGCUAAAGACCCCUACGCGCAAGCAAAUUAUUGCAAUAAAAUUAAACCAUAUGUUAGUCCCGAAAUGACCUAGUUUGUGUCGAGCGGACUUUAAACCCCAUUUCUCUCUCUCUCUUCUUAAAACAUUUUCAUGUCGACGUCGUAUAUUGUCGUUUCUGUCCAUUCACUAUUUGUUUGUGGACACUCUACAGGUCACAAAUGUUAUCUGAUUUUGAUGAAACUUAAAAUAUAUGUUUGUAUCCCAAUUGAGUGGCUAUUUAUUGAUCAAGGCUCGGAAGAAUGAAAAACUAAAGAUGAUUUGAGGUGAAAUUUCAUCGUAGUUUGGAUCAAAUGUGCCUAAUUCUAUUAGAGAUCUCAGGAAUUAAAAGUGCUUUACUCAGGAAUUUACAAGGUGUUUUUUCUACAAAAAUUAUACUCAUUAACUGUGGAAUACAGGUGACAUUUCUAUGGAAUACAAUUACUGUUCAUUACUGACAAUAUUUCGACUAGUCUUCUCUUUAUUCAAUUAUUAAUUAGACAUUAAUUAACUUAUCUAAUUAAUAAUUUAGAUAACAUUUUAGGCCUAAAGAAAGACCUGCAAUAGGCAGAUUUAGCUCUUGUAGUCUUGUAUAAUGUAGGUUUUAACUAUUGUUGAUAUAUGUAGAUGAUCAUGUAACAUCAUAUAACACUUAUAUCAUAUCAUCUAGCUGUAUCUGUGAUGUAAUUAAAACAG